UUUAAAUUAGUAAUCCUUUUGUUGAUAAAGUGAACACUACCAAGACAGAUGUGAGUAUCAUACUUGAUAUCCAGUCAUUUUAAAUAAUAUUUUUGUUCUACGAUUGUACAUGAUAAGACUCAAGCGAUUUCAGACGUGGAUGAACAACUUUAGAUAAUAAUCGUGUACCUUCCUUCUAUAAAUGUAAACAUAUAUUUUGCUGAACUAGCCAUUAUGCUUCCACCUUUGAUUGUGCAAGAAUGUCUAAGAAAAAUUAUCCAUUGAAAAAAUAAGACUUUAUCUUGUGCUCACAUCGUACUCUAAUUCAGAAAAUGAUGAUUUGGAAUGGAAAAAAAAGAUGAAUAAUAUGUCAAACCACCUCAAUCAAGUUCUUCUUAUUAUGAUGAAUAUUCUGAUGCUUUUGACAAGCCUGUCUUUACAACUUGUGAACAUAUAUAACAUUUCAAAAAAUGCUGGGAUGCAAUUGAGGUACAAACUUCCUGCCUUCUGAAAAAUAUAAAAAACCUACCUAAUAGGAAACUCAAUGUAAGUCGGCAAGGAUAACUCUGUUCAUUAGAUUGUGCAUUCAUGUCCUACGUGUGGCGACGCUAUUUUUGUUAAUGACAAAACUAUGGACCAAAGACAAUUUUGUGACCAGAAAAGUGUAUCCUUGUUAAUACACCAGGUCCGUCGCUAUAAUUUUUCUUUGUGGAGAGGGUUAUUUUUUUCCAACAACCUUCAUUUCAUAUUGACCGACUCCACAAUAAAAAACUUUCAGUAAUAUUUAUCAAAUUACUUUUUUUUCCUUUUCAAUUAUUACUUAAUUUUCCCGAUAAACCUUUUUUUGUAGUUUUUUUAUUUUGUCAAUAUUUUCAAUAAAACGCUCACCCAAAGACUGUCUCAUCGCAUUCACUAUUAGAGGACAAAUAGAAUACAAAGUGGAGGCACAGUAGUUAAAAUUAUUUGGCUAGUCUACAAAUCUAAAUCUAACGGAGUCAGAAUUCCAAAAGGAAUGGAGAACAUAAUUGUGCGUUCAUUGAGCUCAAUGGUCUAAGGAAUUCUAUUAGCAAAUGUUUGUACGUGUUAAUUAAUAACUAGUGUAUAUUUUUAUCGAAUUUCUUGUUGGACUGCGAUACAGAAAUUGGUUGGAAAAUUUGAGCUGUUGGGACAGGCUAAUGAUGCGAAGAAUAAAACCCAUACACGUCGCUCAAGAACAACUGAGAAUAUUGCUGCUGUAGCCCAAAGUGUUGAAUAAAGUGAAUUGCGCAAGCGAGAGAUAAUUAAUUUUUUUUUUAGGGUUGGAAUUGGAUGGUAUUGAUAUAGACAACGUUGAUAACAACAAGAUUGCGCAUCUUGCUACCCAAGCAAUGAAACCAUUGUUUUUUACAGGAAAAGUUUUAGGACUCUCGAAGAGGUGAUCACAAUAGGCCACAGAGAUCUUGUGAUUUAGUCCCUUGCAAAUUCUUCCUUUGGGGUCACAUGAAAGAUAAGGUCUACAGCAACAGCCCAGCUAAAAGAUGUAAUUUGUGAAGCUAUUGAGAACAUACAACAGCCACAUUGCGAUUUGGUUAUGUAAAAUUUCAUAAAAGGAUACGGUCCUGUAAGCAUAGUAGUUGACUGAUAUUGUUUUCCAUUAUUAAUGUCAUACAUUUUUAAUAUUAAUACAUUUCUCUUUACAUUGAAAUAGAAAUCCAACCAUUUAUCUCAAAAA
rnacentral:lncRNA from 1 species